CGGAAAAUCUCGGUUCAAAACUGAACCGAAAAUGCAAGUUUAAUUGUUUUCUGUCAGUGUUUAUAUGUGUUGAUCUAGCACAGUGUAAAUAACAUGAGUUCCAUUAUAGUAAAUAAUACAGAAAGAAAUUGAAAGAAAACAAUUAAAGCGAGUCUUGCAUUUUCGGUUCAGUUUUGAACCGAAAUUUUCCG